CCUGUAGCGCUGAGCCUGAGAAGAAGCCCGCGCAUCAAGCAGCUGGUGCUGGGCAGGACGACAUCUGGUCCCUUCUAUUCUGCGUCGCAGCCGCAGCCUCGGAGUGUGCAGAGGGCUCACUCGUCUCAGCAAAGCCGGUCAGUUAACCAACCGGAAGUUGGAAGAAAGAAUCGGGAAAGGAGAAGAAAACCAUGAAGAUGAGACACACACAGUGAGAAGUGAUGCGCUCACACCGCCCGCGUCUAAGCCGCGCCUGGACGCUCCCUGACGUCACUGGCAGCUGAGGGGGAGGGCGUUCCGAGAGGUUCUUAACACCCUCAGGCUCCAGUGGUGAGAUGAAAUGCCAACGAAAAAUGAUGCAAAACAUUUGCAAACAACAGAAGUGAAAUUGUG